rnacentral:rRNA from 2 species
UGCAGUCGACGAUGAUGCCCAGCUUGCUGGGUGGAUUAGUGGCGAACGGGUGAGUAACACGUGAGUAACCUGCCCCUGACUCUGGGAUAAGCGUUGGAAACGACGUCUAAUACUGGAUAUGAUCACUGGCCGCAUGGUCUGGUGGUGGAAAGAUUUUUUGGUUGGGGAUGGACUCGCGGCCUAUCAGCUUGUUGGUGAGGUAAUGGCUCACCAAGGCGACGACGGGUAGCCGGCCUGAGAGGGUGACCGGCCACACUGGGACUGAGACACGGCCCAGACUCCUACGGGAGGCAGCAGUGGGGAAUAUUGCACAAUGGGCGAAAGCCUGAUGCAGCAACGCCGCGUGAGGGAUGACGGCCUUCGGGUUGUAAACCUCUUUUAGUAGGGAAGAAGCGAAAGUGACGGUACCUGCAGAAAAAGCACCGGCUAACUACGUGCCAGCAGCCGCGGUAAUACGUAGGGUGCAAGCGUUGUCCGGAAUUAUUGGGCGUAAAGAGCUCGUAGGCGGUUUGUCGCGUCUGCUGUGAAAUCCCGAGGCUCAACCUCGGGCUUGCAGUGGGUACGGGCAGACUAGAGUGCGGUAGGGGAGAUUGGAAUUCCUGGUGUAGCGGUGGAAUGCGCAGAUAUCAGGAGGAACACCGAUGGCGAAGGCAGAUCUCUGGGCUCGUAACUGACGCUGAGGAGCGAAAGCAUGGGGAGCGAACAGGAUUAGAUACCCUGGUAGUCCAUGCCGUAAACGUUGGGCGCUAGAUGUAGGGACCUUUCCACGG